GUUGAUUAAUCUAAUUAAUCUGCGUCCUUAAAUCACUUUGGUCGAGUUUCACGCCACAAAUGAUCAAGCAAGUCAACCCCAUCACACGGUGCCAACCUAUGAAUGAGCCUUGGCCUUGUAGACUAGAGCAAACACUUGGGUGUAAAUACUCUUGAUCGAAAAGGAUGGGUUGCUCAGACAAUUAUGAUGGACGACGCGUUUUGUGCUUACACAAAGACUUAUAUUUAAUGGGGAUUUAGCAUGUGAUACUAAUUGCUUAUAUUUAAUAUCCAAUAUUAAAUAGCAACACAAUUACUGGGUGCCGC
rnacentral:lncRNA from 1 species